rnacentral:lncRNA from 1 species
AUGAGAGCCAGCCUCUGUUCGUCUCAUGUCGCAACGGUCUUCCCAACCAGACCAGAGCGGGGCUCCUGCAGGUACACUUCGGCCUCGUGCCCUGAGGGCCUCCCCGGGUCCGCCCGCCCAGCGUGGGGGCACACAGUCUGCGGGUGUCUGGCACCUGAUGUGGAGACAUCCUUUGCCUGCAGGGCCCAUGGGCAUCAUGGUGCCCCGUGGUGGCCAUCCAGGACCUCAGUCCUCCUGCACAUGAGUCUACAUCACCCCCUCCAGUGCUGGACUAUGCAGCAGCGCGAGCCGAAUACAUUCUCUCCGUGCUCACAGACAGAAAGCUCCAGCAAACACUGGGGAGAACUGGCAGAAUUCCUGUGGCUCCAAACAGUGGUGUAGAGAUGAACUAGCUACACUCCAUACACUCCUCUACACAGUGAUCAUCAUGGUUAUCCUAAUGGCAAUUUGGGGAGCCUGGGCAAGGAAAGACGCCUACUCAUAGCUGCAAAAUGCUGUCUUUGAUAAAAACUUAGAGACACUCAUGAGGAUUAAAAAUACAAAGGAAGGGUCAUAACUCAUGGUCUUUGCAAAUUAUAGCUCAUCUUUAAUUUAAAGGCAGAACUGCUUCUGCCAGUGGAUUUGAACCAGUGAACCCACUUCGUGGACAAAGUACAGAACACAACUUCAAUGAGAAAGUGGAAUAUUAGUAAUGUAACACUGUUCAGUGUAACAUAUGUAAAUGAAACUGUAUGUUAAAUACAGUCUGAUGGGGGGAAUGUGAUUAAUACUUUUGCUGGUCAAAAUAUUUUUACAUCUGUCCCACUUUCCAUUUUUGACUUGAGUUGCUCGUUUGCUUGUUGUUUUAUAUUAUAGCAGGGAGUUGUGAUAAUGCUGGAGGGGGCCUACCUGAUUAUGAGCAAGCAAAGACCUCUGAUCUAGCUGAGUUCCCAACUCAGUUGCUAGAGAGAAGCGUUGUAGUUUGAGUUAUGUAGUUCUGUUUGAUUUUAUGUUUAUGUAAACAUCUCUUUUUGUUAAAAUCUGCACAGCCUCAGGAAUAAACUGUGGGGAAAACUAUAUUUGUAAGAGUCU